UGGGGAAUCUUGCACAAUGGGCGAAAGCCUGAUGCAGCAACGCCGCGUGAGUGAAGAAGGCCCUUGGGUUGUAAAGCUCUUUCGGCCGGGAAAAAGGGCUUCACGGUAAAUAAUCGUGAGGUUUGAUGGUACCGGAAGAAGAAGCACCUGCUAACUUCGUGCCAGCAGCAGCGGUAAUACGAAGGGUGCAAGCGUUGUUCGGAAUUAUUGGGCGUAAAGCGCACGUAGGCGGGUUGGUAAGUUGGUUGUGAAAGCCCUGGGCUUAACCCGGGAAUGGCAAUCAAUACUGCCGAUCUUGAAUGCUUGAGAGGGUGGUGGAAUUCCAGGUGUAGAAGUGAAAUUCGUAGAUAUCUGGAGGAACACCGGAGGCGAAGGCGGCCACCUGGUGAGACAUUGACGC
rnacentral:rRNA from 1 species